rnacentral:snRNA from 1 species
UUUUAAAUGGUAGUCAACGCUU